CUGUGUGAGCUACUUUCUUAUGCACAUGGCCUUGGCCAUCACAUCUGCUUUUCGUUUAUCUUAUCUAGUAUUAGCAGUAUCUAGUAUUAACUGGCCCUGCUAACUAUGGCCUUAUUGUUUAGCAGUCAGCACAUUAGUACAGAAGGUUACAAAAGUUUAGUGAGGCUAACACAAAGGCUUUUAACAUGGAGGUACUUUGGUUCACACAGGCCUCAAGCAAGAAGAUUUCUACCUAGUGGCACCAACAAAGGGAUGUUCAGCAGAGUGGGAGUAU